AUUGAACGCUGGCGGCAGGCCUAACACAUGCAAGUCGAACGAGUGUCGGUCGGGUGAGUAAUGUCUGGGAAACUGCCUGAUGGAGGGGGAUAACUACUGGAAACGGUAGCUAAUACCGCAUACCAUCAGAUGUUCCCAGAUGGGAUUAGCUUGUUGGUGGGGUAACGGCUCACCAAGGCGACGAUCCCUAGCUGGUCUGAGAGGAUGAACGGCAACACUGGAACUGAGACACGGUCAAGACUCCUACGGGAGGCAGAAGUGGGGAAUAUUGGAAAAUGGGCGCAAGCCUGAUGCAGCCAGGCCGCGUGGAUGAAGAAGGUCUUCGGGUUGUAAAGUACUUUCAGCGGGGAGGCGUUACCCGAAGAAGAAGCACCGGCUAACUCCGUGCCAGCAGCCGCGGUAAUUC
rnacentral:rRNA from 1 species